ACUCCUACGGGAGGCAGCAGUGGGAAUAUUGCGCAAUGGGCGAAAGCCUGACGCAGCCAUGCCGCGUGUGUGAAGAAGGCCUUAGGGUUGUAAAGCACUUUCAAUUGGGAAGAAAGCUAAACGUUAAUAGCGUUUAGCCCUGACAUUACCUUUAGAAGAAGCACCGGCUAACUCCGUGCCAGCAGCCGCGGUAAUACGGAGGGUGCGAGCGUUAAUCGGAAUUACUGGGCGUAAAGCGCGCGUAGGCGGUUUGUUAAGUCAGCUGUGAAAGCCCGGCGUCAACCUGGGAACUGCAUUUGGAACUGGCAGGCUAGAGUUUUGUAGAGGGUGGUAGAAUUUCAGGUGUAGCGGUGAAAUGCGUAGAGAUCUGAAGGAAUACCGGUGGCGAAGGCGACCACCUGGCCAAUAACUGACACUGAGACGCGAAGGCGUGGGUAGCAAACGGGAUUAGAUACCCUGGUAGGCUCUGCU
rnacentral:rRNA from 1 species